ACGCCGGAAGACCAAGGGUUCCUGUCCAACGUUAAUCGGGGCAGGGUGAGUCGACCCCUAAGGCGAGGCCGAAAGGCGUAGUCGAUGGGAAACAGGUUAAUAUUCCUGUACUUGGUGUUACUGCGAAGGGGGGACGGAGAAGGCUAUGUUAGCCGGGCGACGGUUGUCCCGGUUUAAGCAUGUAGGCGGAACGAUUAGGUAAAUCCGGUCGUUUAUUAACGCUGAGGUGUGAUGACGAGGCACUACGGUGCUGAAGUAACAAAUGCCCUGCUUCCAGGAAAAGCCUCUAAGCAUCAGGUAACAUCAAAUCGUACCCCAAACCGACACAGGUGGUCAGGUAGAGAAUACCAAGGCGCUUGAGAGAACUCGGGUGAAGGAACUAGGCAAAAUGGUGCCGUAACUUCGGGAGAAGGCACGCUGAUAUGUAGGUGAAGCCCCUGCGGGUGGAGCUGAAAUCAGUCGAAGAUACCAGCUGGCUGCAACUGUUUAUUAAAAACACAGCACUGUGCAAACACGAAAGUGGACGUAUACGGUGUGACGCCUGCCCGGUGCCGGAAGGUUAAUUGAUGGGGUUAGCGGCAACGCGAAGCUCUUGAUCGAAGCCCCGGUAAACGGCGGCCGUAACUAUAACGGUCCUAAGGUAGCGAAAUUCCUUGUCGGGUAAGUUCCGACCUGCACGAAUGGCGUAAUGAUGGCCAGGCUGUCUCCACCCGAGACUCAGUGAAAUUGAACUCGCUGUGAAGAUGCAGUGUACCCGCGGCAAGACGGAAAGACCCCGUGAACCUUUACUAUAGCUUGACACUGAACACUGGUCCUUGAUGUGUAGGAUAGGUGGGAGGCUUUGAAGCGUGGACGCCAGUCUGCGUGGAGCCAACCUUGAAAUACCACCCUUUAAUGGCUGGUGUUCUAACGUAGACCCGUGAUCCGGGUUGCGGACAGUGUCUGGUGGGUAGUUUGACUGGGGCGGUCUCCUCCCAAAGAGUAACGGAGGAGCACGAAGGUUAGCUAAUCCUGGUCGGACAUCAGGAGGUUAGUGCAAUGGCAUAAGCUAGCUUGACUGCGAGAGUGACGGCUCGAGCAGGUGCGAAAGCAGGUCAUAGUGAUCCGGUGGUUCUGAAUGGAAGGGCCAUCGCUCAACGGAUAAAAGGUACUCCGGGGAUAACAGGCUGAUACCGCCCAAGAGUUCAUAUCGACGGCGGUGUUUGGCACCUCGAUGUCGGCUCAUCACAUCCUGGGGCUGAAGUAGGUCCCAAGGGUAUGGCUGUUCGCCAUUUAAAGUGGUACGCGAGCUGGGUUUAGAACGUCGUGAGACAGUUCGGUCCCUAUCUGCCGUGGGCGCUGGAGAAUUGAGGGGGGCUGCUCCUAGUACGAGAGGACCGGAGUGGACGCAUCACUGGUGUUCGGGUUGUCAUGCCAAUGGCAUUGCCCGGUAGCUAAAUGCGGAAAAGAUAAGUGCUGAAAGCAUCUAAGCACGAAACUUGCCCCGAGAUGAGUUCUCCCUGACCCUUUAAGGGUCCUGAAGGAACGUUGAAGACUACGACGUUGAUAGGUCGGGUGUGUAAGCGCAGCGAUGCGUUGAGCUAACCGAUACUAAUGAACCGUGAGGCUUAACCUUACAACGCCGAAGCUGUUUCGGCG
rnacentral:rRNA from 1 species